rnacentral:rRNA from 1 species
UACGUAGGGGGCAAGCGUUGUCCGGAUUUACUGGGCGUAAAGAGCGUGUAGGCGGCCAAGCAGGUCCGUUGUGAAAACUGGAGGCUUAACCUCCAGACGUCGACGGAAACCGCGCGGCUAGAGUCCGGAAGAGGAGAGUGGAAUUCCUGGUGUAGCGGUGAAAUGCGUAGAUAUUGGGAGGAACACCAGUGGCGAAGGCGGCUCACUGGACCGGUACUGACGCUGAUGCGCGAAAGCGUGGGGAGCAAACGGG